rnacentral:rRNA from 1 species
UACGUAUGGGGCAAGCGUUAUCCGGAUUUACUGGGUGUAAAGGGAGCGUAGGCGGCAGGGCAAGCCAGAUGUGAAAGCCCGGGGCUCAACCCCGGGACUGCAUUUGGAACUGUGCUGCUAGAGUGUCGGAGAGGCAGGCGGAAUUCCUAGUGUAGCGGUGAAAUGCGUAGAUAUUAGGAGGAACACCAGUGGCGAAGGCGGCUUGCUGGACGGUAACUGACGCUGAGGCUCGAAAGCGUGGGGAGCAAACAGG